CCAGGCAACAUGGGCCGCCCGACUGGUAGUGGCUGACCGUCUGUCGUUUGGUUUCGAACCCCACUCCCCUCACCUUCCUCUCUAUCGUACGAACCAGAGCCGCCGUUGCCUAGGGUUCGCACCGCCGCCGCAUCCUUCCACGCCGCCUCCCGAUGCCGCUCUCGAUGGCGCCAUCACCAAUCCCACGCCGCUCGACCGCGCACUGGUACUCUAGGUGGAGAUUGGGUAGUAGAGAUUGGAGAGAUGGAUGGGGAUGCGAGGAGCUCGGCCAUGGGGACUGGGAGGAGGUCAGCCACAUGGUCUGUGAGGAGCUAGGUCGCAGGGACGGGAUUAGCUCGCCAGAAGGACAUGAGGAGCUCGGUCAUGGAAAGGAGGGGAGCAGAAACCUGCCUCAUCGCCACCGUCUGUGACCACUAUCCACACCUCUUUCAGGGCCACUAGAGUCAAGCUCUGAUCUCCCUCUACCCAACUACGUCCCCAGCUUCACUCUGCCAGCUGAGAUGAUGAACUUUUGAUUGCAAAUUACCAGAAGGUUUGCUCACCAUCUAUGUGCACGAAGCUGACACUAACUUUAGAUUUCAGGGAGUGGUAAAGCAGAACACACGGAUAACAGUUAUGGUGUGGUGAUGUCGAGCUGUUUGGAAUAGAGCACGGAAAUGCUAGAGUGUUUAGAUGCUGCUAGAGAGCUCUGUAUUGAAAAAUCUUUUAUGCACGAUGCCAAGAUGACAGUUGGGUGCACAAAACCAAGAGAAACGGAACAUGCAUAUGAAAGCAGUCUCCAGUAAAGAUAUGUUUGAAAUCAGAAAGAUUGGAUCUGUUAUCAUGAUGUACGAGGGAAAACACAGCCAUGAAGUUUGAGCAGCCAGAAAUAGCAGGCAUGUGAGCUCUGGUUCUGGCACUCGCAGAACGCCACCAUCUCCACCUUAGGUAAAUCUCUCAUAGCGAUGGUAUUUAUCUUCUAGCAGAUGGUAUUUAUUCAUUAUGAUAUUGAGAUGAAUUAAGAUUCUCUCCAUGGGCUUCGUGAAAUUAAGAUUAAAAAUCACAUGCACAAUAAUUUUCUACACAUCUUGCAGCAGGAAGGUGUGAGUCCACAACCCAGUGCUUCUGUUGGAGUAGUUAAAUCUGAAGCAAUUUCGAAAAAUGAAGCCCUGAGACAUCCAGAAAACUUGAAAGUGCAACAUGGUCAUAUUAUCCCCUUCUAACAUAGAAACAUCGUGCACCGCCAGAUUUGGACCCUUUUUGUCUUUUUUUCUUCUAAACUAGAUGUUUAGUGUCUGCAACUCGUUAUGCAGAAUAUAGAAAAUAGCAAAAUGGAUGGUCUUUCCUUCAUGCAGCGUCUAACUUUUCUAUCAAGAAAUGAACUUCUUCUAUUUGAUUCGGUGAUAGGUUCCUAUUUUUGUUUCUGACCAAAACGUAGGCACUCGUUUGUUGGCCCGGACUUCAGAAUAGAUAGCUGAAUAUAUAAUCAGAUAUACAUCAGCUUUCCAUAGUUUCUGUCAUAUCAUCAUUUUCAGUAAUCGCAAUAAGCAAAGGUUGAUGGACAGUACUCGCAAUAGACUGGUAUUCAUGUUUCUAAAUAGUUUAGAUCUUAAUGACAUGCUAAGCAAAGAGAGAACUGCAGUUUAUGAUUUAUCGAACUGCUGACCAUGUACAUGUCAUGUGUAAAACUGAAACUAAUGAACAUGAGCGAAGAAGUGUUCUCUUAAUUGGCCUUAUCACAAUUCUGAAUACCACGAGUUCCACUCAUCCACGCGGCCACGAGACGGACCUCCUGUUUCUGGUACGCUCAUUCUUCCUCCCAGAUCGGAAUCUAGGAUUCAUGCUGGUUGGGCAAAAAUUGGGAGCACUGGAUUUUGGGUUUACUAUUACUUGGAUUUUAGGUUUUCAUCAGCGGGUUCUCGCGCGACUCCUCGGGGAGGGUGGUUUGGGUGCGUGUUCAAGGGCAUGCUGGGCAAUAUCCUGCUUGAUGACAACUUCGAAGAUUAUGUUAUGUACUUCUUACACUGCACAAAGCAAAACUGCGGUGAUCUUUCUGAAAAUAUUUGUUGUUGUGUGCAUGGUAUGUUGAGUUCCUGAUGAGUUCUGGAUGUCGUGUUCAUAAUCCAGGUCGCUUGUGAUGGGCACAUUUCGGUAAAUCAUCUUUGCAGGAGAUCUACUUUGCACGAUGCACAUCUCACCAUGGACCCUCUUCGACUGUCUUUCAGUUUGUUAGCAUUCUAUACAGCUUGGCCCUAAACAAUGUGGACCUGACCAACGACGUGCAACCUAGGAUAAGCCAGCUGUCUCGAACAGGACGGACAUUGGGCAGUUCCAGAGGAUGGCCUUCGACAUCCAUGAUUUCAGCUCCAAGUAUACCCACUCCAGAGUUGAUGUUUCCUAAUUAUAAUGGGCUUGAGUUUACUUCUGCUAUAGUUAAUUUUAAAUAAACACCGGUUGUCGUGUGGACAACUCCUGAGGUCAAGAUGACAAAAGAUUGCUAGAAGACUUGUGGAUUUAAGUCUAGCACGCAAGAAGCUCGCCACAGACCGUGUGCACCUGGAGGUGCUCAAAAUACGGCACGAGUCGUCGGAAGCCCGCGAGAACAUCAUGCAUGCCCGCCUCCUCCAGGUGGUGGCGACCAGGAGGAGGUGGAAAACGGCCUAUGCCGAGCUACCUCCUGGCGGUAAUCUAUCAGGGGGAGAUUGCUUGAUGUGGAUCUCUUGUGUGCAGAAAUCAAGUCUGAUUCUGAGAAUGGGUGCGGGAGGCGAGUGCGAGAUUUUAGACUGGUUUUGUUACUUACUGUUGCAGCUGAUCGUCACCUUGAGCUAGAUGAUGCUGGACCUAACCAAGUGAUCAAUAAGAUGCUUAUGACCAAACUAAAAUUACGAAUACAAAUUCUUUUGAUGAAAAAUGUUCCCGUUCUGGAAAUAACUUCAUAAUUCCAUGGGGCUUCACUUCGACGACUCCAUCUGAUGUAUGCGACAACCUCACCAGCCUUGAUGAUGCCGGCAGAUGUGCCUUGGAGUAUCCCAGGCUCAAGAAUGGUUCCCUCUUAGCCAAUGUUUGUAUAUGCACCAAUUAAAUAAUCAAAACAAAUUAUGUACAUGAUUUUUUUUCCCGUAGCAACGCACGGGCAUUUGUGCUAG